UGAAAUGUAGCUCAGUGGCAGAGCACUUGCCUAGCAUGCAUGAGGCCCUGGGUUUUAUCCCCACAGUUCAA
rnacentral:tRNA from 2 species